GAUGAACGCUGGCGGCGUGCUUAACACAUGCAAGUCGAACGGUGAAGGCGGAGCUUGCUCUGCUGGAUCAGUGGCGAACGGGUGAGUAACACGUGAGCAAUCUGCCCCUGACUCUGGGAUAAGCGCUGGAAACGGCGUCUAAUACUGGAUACGAGCUGCGAAGGCAUCUUCAGCAGUUGGAAAGAAUUUCGGUCAGGGAUGAGCUCGCGGCCUAUCAGCUUGUUGGUGAGGUAAUGGCUCACCAAGGCGUCGACGGGUAGCCGGCCUGAGAGGGUGACCGGCCACACUGGGACUGAGACACGGCCCAGACUCCUACGGGAGGCAGCAGUGGGGAAUAUUGCACAAUGGGCGAAAGCCUGAUGCAGCAACGCCGCGUGAGGGACGACGGCCUUCGGGUUGUAAACCUCUUUUAGCAGGGAAGAAGCGAAAGUGACGGUACCUGCAGAAAAAGCGCCGGCUAACUACGUG
rnacentral:rRNA from 1 species